UGCAAGAACAAGAAUCGCACGGUUGAGUU
rnacentral:piRNA from 1 species